UGACCCCGGAGGGCACAACGGUGCAACGCGCCCCUAUAGUGGAGAAGCAACUGCAGGCGACGGUGAGGAACCAGUCCUGUGGAAAAGCUUUCAUUAUGCCCCUUGGUCCUAUCAUCUGUCAUUGUCUAACAAGGAUUACCUCUGAGGAAUUGCUGGCACAAGAUGGCUGUUGAAUCUCUGAAUUAAUUUAGCUGCUCCAGAGUCCUCUGUCAGCAGAUGUCCAACAGCCCUGCCUGAGAUGCGGUCCUGGCUGUGUAUGUUGCUAUCUGGAUUCUCGUGUUUGUGGGUCUAUGCUUCUGAUGUCGGUGCACCAAAAACCAUCGUGAUCGAGACAUGGGAGAACCACACAUGGAAGACACUGGAGUGUGAAGUAAACAAUACCCUCGAUGUUGCUCCAAGUCCCGCAUAUGUUUCAGGGAAAGCCUCCAUCUUUUUGGACCCACAGAUGGAUACAACCCCACUUCCGUGAGGUUAAAAGGUUUGAACAAAGUAAACAUCAUUGUCGGAAUGAGUGGGGAAGCAACAUGUAUAAUGGGCUGGACUGUAAAUGAUAGUCCACUUUGGUGGCUAAAGAAUCCCAGAAUGAUUAGUGGAAACAUCAUUAUCCUCAUGAAUACCAUAAUAUUCCCUUCCCCUUUUUGGCCCAGGAGAGAAGAUUUAUUGGUGGGAGGAAUUGGAAAAUACUACCUAGAUAAAUUAGGCUGUCAUUGGGUGGGAACAAACAGGCUGCUGCAUAAUUGUAACCAACCUAGAUGUGCGCAGCUGUGGACUGACCUUCCUAAUAAAACAGCCCCUAGAGACAAAAUGGUCCAAUUUAAAUUAGAAUAUGCCAUCUACCUCACUGGGAAGCAGACAAAUUUGGAGAAAACAGAAUUGCAAAUAGUCACACCAGGAGGGGAAUGGAAGAUCCUCCUGUCCUGUUACAACAGGAACCAGUGGCUGCUCACAGAGGAGCUCCUGUCUCUGAGAUAUGGAGAACAGCAUCAGUUAAUCUGGUGUGCUAGUGAGGAAAUUAUCAACAUGUGGGUUAGCAUGACAGGAAAAUGGUUUCUGCGAGGGCCUCAUGGUGUAAAAAGUUGCAUUGUUUAGGUUUUGGACCCAGUAGUCACCAAUUUAAUCAGUCCCUAUGUUGUCCGAACCAAUGUCAAAAAGCAAUUGGUUCUUGACCCUACUCAAUCCCUCAGAAAGGUCAUUCUAGACCUAAGUUUGACAAAGGUCUCAGUGAUAGAGCCCCGGUGUAAGCAAUUUGUUCCACCCUGAUUUGAAGGUUGGAAAAAUUGGAUGGAAACACACAAAAUUCCCAAACCAAAAAGCUCUAGCAGGGAAAGCAGAAGGGUAAAAAGAGACUUUAUGGGGAGCAAUUGGAAUGGGAGGAGCAGUCCUUAACAGCAUUAAUGAGAAGGUGCUUGCAAACAAGAUGAAUCCAAUGGGAGCUCACAUAAAAGAUUUGACUACACCUAUUAGGGUAUCAUUUGAGCAAUUAAGGUCUCUGCAAUCCCAAGUAGCAAAUAUCUUAGAGGAAUGGGGAAAAACCCAAGAGGAAGACCAUCACCACCUCUUGCAGGCUGUUGGCACUCUGCAAGCUAACAUUUCUUUAGCUAUGGCAUGUAUGCAAAUGCAAGUAUGGAUGAUUGAUAUAGUAAAAGAUAUGAUUCGUGAUGGUAGGAAUUUCCCAGUAGAAAUCAGAAACAUCAUUUGGAAUAAUUCACCCAAACUGAGAGAGAGUUACAGGCCUGGUGGAAAAUGGUAAAUUUUACGUAUAAUCAACACUCAGAGGAAAUCACGGUCUUUGUUUUGCUAAUGUCCCAAGCAGAAAUAAAAUAGGUUUCUCCCAUUGUGGCUUUAGGCUUCAAUAUUAAUCAGACCGUAAUGAAACCUAUCGACCACAGAGUGUGAGUAGUGAAAGAUGAUCAAAAGAGGAAAACAGUAGAAUUGGGAGCCUGUUUAGAGGAACCUAGAAUUGGAUAUGAAUGUAACAAAAAUGCCCUCCAACCUCAGGAUGUAUGUUUGGAAGUAACUGAAGGAAAAUGCCAUUUUGCUAUUAACCCAUUUGUAAGUAACAAUUCUGUAUUUGUGUAUCUAGGAAAUCAUUGUGUAUGUUUUAGAAGUUGAUGUCCUGCAUUUCUUAUUAAUUUUGUGCAUAAAGUAAAUCAUAAUCCUUAUGAGAAUAAAUGUUUCUGUCAUAUUGUAGCAAUUAGGGGAUGUGAUUUCAAAUUUCAUGUACCCAAAUUUAAAUAUAGUCAGUUAAAAGUGGCUUAUACUUUGUAUUCCAUUGUAAAACCUGUGCCCCUUGAAAUGGGUCUAACUGCUUUACAAACAUUACUUGUACACCCUGAUUUACAGAACCAGUAACAAACUGCAAAACAG